CCCAAGCUUCUUGGGAGGCCUCUGGGAAGGAGGAGGAGCUGUCUCGGUUAGGGUCAUACCAAAGUCCGCCUCCGUGUCUUGGGGUUUCUUUCCUGGUCUUUUGGGACAGUGUGGGACCCAGAAGGGAGAAUCGUGAGAUUCCUGUGUCACCGGAAAGAUUUGGGAGCCUGGCCAAAGGCAUCCAUCUGGACUUCAGCUUAGAAGCCGCUGCCCUUCGUCUGGGCCCCAGGAUGAAACUGCAGGUGGCGCUGGCCUAGUACCUGUGCAGGUGACAGUUCUGGCUGAGCUGCCACUAGACAUGGUGUCUGGGUUUGGCACAUGGUAGAUCUUGUCUGACACUCUGGUGACCUGUCCCUGGCCCAUGUGGCAUUGUAUGGACUUAACCUCUCGCUGUAAGACCACCCAUGUUGGUUAGACAAUCUUAUUAGGAAGCCAU
rnacentral:lncRNA from 1 species